rnacentral:lncRNA from 1 species
GGGAUGACAAUGAACACUUUUACCAAGCUGGGUCCCCUUGGUGGAGGUGUUAAAUCGCUGGAAAUAAUUCAAUGUAUGCUUGCGUUGAGGAUAAGGAUGAACUAUGAAGUUGGUUUUAAUUUUGCCUCAGCUUUGUGUGAGUAUACAAUCUUUCAAGUUGGAAACAUCCAAAUUCAGGACAACAGAUUUUGAAAGCCUAAAAAUAGUGUUUUUAUAUGCAGAUACAGAUUUUCAAAGGAGGAAGCUUUGGUAAUGGAUCUUUAUAUGCUGUUUCUCAUUCUAAAGGAAGGAUGCAAGAUUCCCUUACGGUUGUAGAGGAAGACAGUGAGGCUGUUGCUGGUUUGGAAAGAGGAAACCCAAAUAAAAAGGAAAAAAGAAAGGAGCUUCAUUGGAAGAUCAUGCGCGCUGGUGAAUUUUACCACCAUCUAACUUUUCUAUCAGAAUCAACUCUGAACAGGUAGACUAGAAGGAUAUGUUAUUCCGAGAGUAAGAUGUCUUUUUGAAAAUGGUAUAUUUUACUAGGGGAUGAAGAACUAGGAAAGUCACAAGUAAUUAGAAAUAUAGCUGAUUAGGCUGCGAUAUUAAUGCCUUAUGCUAUUGACAACUUAUAAUUGGACACUGGCUUUUUCUGUUAUCAGUAGCUUUGGCAUUUCGGCAAAGAGGUUUUUUUGUUUAUGCUUGCCAGUCAGUCACUUGUACUAUAAUAGAUUUUGACUAGGUAUUUAUUGCAUUGUGUUUCUUACAGAUUUAGCUUCGAUUUGAUUCUGUUCCUAUUAUCUAGGUCAUUAAUUUUAUUUUUUUUAAUUCCUGUUCCACUAUCUCAACUACAUUAUAUUCUUUCAUUCUAUUUAGAGAACCCAUAUAUGGCAUGACAUGACCUCUAAUGGAUUCAUAUGAAUUGAUUUCUACUAUUUGAUUUCAUCACAUGCUACUUAAAUUUCAGUCACUUUCGUCUUUGAUUUCCGCCAAUUCAUCUUGUUUGUUCACUAAAUUAUUUGUGUUGUUUAGCACCUCUUUAUCUAUAUUCAGUAAACCUUUCUCUAAGUUCUACUCCAUGUUUACUUUUUCAUCUCUGCAAUUGUCAACCUUUCAUGCCUCUUGCAGAAUCUCGCCUCUUUGUUCCUCUAUUCAAAUUCAUGUUUGCAUUUUAUCUAUACACAGACAUAGUUAAAUCUUUUUAUUUUCUUUACACCAAAAAAAACACCUUUUGUAAUGGUUACGCAUCACCUUCACCUUCUAUAGCGCUUCUGAACACAGAAGCAAGUCAUGGAAAAUUUAUUGUUGUCACUGGUCAGAAUUGUUUGAGCACUUGCUAGUUCCAAAAUAGAAGCAAGUAUAGGAAAGGAUUUGAAGGAAGUUGAACUACUCCAAUACUAGUGAACCUUAAACUUACUUUCCUGUUAAAUCAACCCUGAACAUGCAAGCCAGAUAAUAAAUUUGGAGAGUUAAAUGAAUCCUUAUAAAGAGAGAAGAAGUGUAACUUGGAUUUAUUAGUCUCUGGCACUAUGGUUAUAAAGCUGCUUUUUCAUUUGUUUGUACUAAAUGAUUUGCCCUAUCUUUCAAUGUAAUUUCCUGGAAGGUUUCUGUUUUAUGUCUUGCUAUGAAUUCCUUGUACCAAAUUGCUGAUAAUCUUGGAGUUCUCUUCAUUGUUGCAUAAUCAACAUGGUGGAGUCCAAAUCUUAUUGUAUAUCCACGUAGCCACUCAAAGUUGUCGAGUAAGGACCAGCCAAAAUAGCCCCUAACAUCUGCUCCUUUCCUGAUUAAAUGGUAAAUGGGGAAACACAAAUGAAGGAUUUUAAUUUAAAUUUCCUCUAACGUUUCACUAGUGAGCAGAUUUGAGUAUGUGUUUAUACAAACAAAAAGAAGGCCAGUGAUAUUAUGUGCAAGUGUAUAUUUUCAGAAUGCAUUUCAUAUAGCUGGAUGUUUAUGUUCUUACCUUAUUGCUUCCAUUAGGGCAUCUAAAUGACCCGCCAUGUAAUCUUUUCUGUUGAAAUCAUUAAGAUAUUCCUCCUCAGUGUUAUUUGGGUUGUCCAACGCAGAAUAUCCUGUAAAACAAUCUAUUCAAACAAAAAUACACAUAAGCUUUAUCCACUAAAUGACUCUUUAGGUUAUGCUUACCAUUUUCACUAAUAAACAUUGGAGUGUUGUUGUAUCUGUUUUUUACAUAGGUGACCAUUUUCUCCAUGCCUUGUGGGUAAACAUAUUUCGAAUCAAUUGGAAUCUGCAUGUUUAUAGAGGUCUCAGAGUCAGGCAUGUAAUGUAAAUGGAGACUGUUAGUGAUAGAUAAAGACCAUCAAUUACAAAGGUCUAUCAUAGGAGAAAUAAGGGAUUGAAUAGUAAUGGGCCUAUCUGAUAAAGAGGGGUUUAGUUGAGGGUUUGGAAAUGAAUUAAAGAUAGUCAGUUAGAUUGUUUGACAGCUGCAACUGUCAGUUAGAUACAGUUGUUACAAUUCCAAUAAAGAUGGAAGUGUAGUUAGAAAGGAUUCAUUCAAGAAUUAGAUCAGUUUUGGGAGAGAUUAACCUCUCGAAUGCGAGAAUUGUAAACACAAAUUCGUUCUCUGUUCUGUUCUUUCUUUUCAUCUACUUCUAUCUGAUCCAGUUUCUAUCAGUUAGUUUCAAUAUUAUAGAUCAUGGGGUUGAAGAUGCAUACAGGUUCCCCAAUUGGACUUAGUUGGUAUGAACCCUCUGUUUUGGUGAUCCCAGGUCCCGGUUCACACAUGGAAUAGAUGCAGUCCUUGACAUAGUAACUCGCAUAGUGAUUGAUGCCGAUGAAA